UUUACUCUAUUAGUAGUUUCAUUAUCUUUGUUUGCUCUCAUCUUUUCUGCUUCUUCUUUAUUUAAUUUCUUCCAUAACUUCAACUUCUACUUCUCUACAUUCUCUCUCCAACGUACUAUUCACUCACAGCAUAGACAAAAAUUGCAUGUUCCUCCUAUGUAACGGUCUUCUUGUUUUUGUUGGUAUAACAAUAUCUUUAUCUACAGGGUCUAGUAGUGUUGAUGAAUCUUCCAACAAUGUUAAAGAUGGUUCACGAUUACUUUCCUCAAUGGUUGAAGCUAAAGUGCCAGUAUUAGUGAUGAAGGGGGAUCAAGAAGAAAAAAGUAGGUUAUUUGAUGAAGGAGGUGAAGAGGAAAACAAUGAAUUACAAAUGGUUGAUGAGGAAGAAAAUUGGGUGAUAAACACAGAUGAGUUGAACAAAAAGUUUGAUGACUUCAUUAAAAGGAUGAAAGAAGAUUUGAGGAUUGAAUCUCAAAGACAAUUUUUCAUGGUUUGAUUUUGAUUAGGAACUACGAUUAUGUUUUUUAUGUAGGAUUUUUAACAAGGCCUACUAAAUAAAUAUUUAUAAUAUAUACCUUUUAGAGAAUGUAGUUUCAAACAUGGUUAUAAUAGAUCUUUGGUAUGUGAUAAUCUACUCCCUUUAUUUUAUCACCUGUUUCACUUUUUAAAUACAAAGAGGAUCAAGAUUUUGUUCAUAAUUGUGUUAAAAGUUCCAAAGGUAAUGCAUUAACAUGAAAUCGUCCUUGUUGUUCCUUCCCCCAACAUCGACACAUCUUAACAAGAGAUUGUCUAGUUCAAUGUUGCUUGCUUCACGACCAGGAUUAAAAGGAAUGAUGGCUCUGGUCCCAUAAGUUUGUCGAAAUGGGGUUUUGUUGGGCUAUUCCUCUUAUUUGAAGUGAGCCAAAUGAACGUGGGUUAGUAACUCAUAUGUGUGUAAGCUUUUGUCAUUAUAAAACAAAGAGAAUUAGGUCAACAAUUCAUAAGAUGAGAAACAACGAAAAAAAAUUGAGAGAAGAGUGAAAUUUCUGAAGCUCCAAUUCAGCACAGAGAAGUCCCACGAGAUCGGAGAUUUCUCACAAUACAACCGUCGGAUCGUCCUGAUUUUGGUGACAGGGUUCAAAACUCAUAUAGGUACAUUCCUAAAGACGAAGAUAAGAGUUUGAGCACUCUAAGUAUGUCUGACUAGUUCACUUCUGAUGUGAAGAUUUUGUGGUUAUUUUGGUUGAUUGUCCCUCUAGAUUAUUAUUGUAUUUCAAGAUUGAUUGUAGAUCUUGAUGAUGUUAAUGUAUGCCUCUAACUAGUGUUAGAGAUAACCUUAAUUGUACCUAUUAUUUGAUUAUAUGGAGAUUUAAGUGGCCUACGAGUCCCGUGGUUUUUUACUCAUA